UACGAAGGGUGCAAACGUUGCUCGGAAUUAUUGGGCGUAAAGCGCACGUAGGCGGCAUUGCAAGUCGGAUGUGAAAUCUUAUGGCUUAACCAUAAAAGUGCAUCCGAAACUGCAGUGCUUGAGUACUUAAGAGGAUCGCGGAAUUCCCGGUGUAGAGGUGAAAUUCGUAGAUAUCGGGAGGAACACCAGUGGCGAAGGCGGCGAAUCUGGGAAGAUACUGACGCUGAGGUGCGAAAGCGUGGGGAGCAAACAGG
rnacentral:rRNA from 1 species